rnacentral:lncRNA from 1 species
AUGCCCCGCAGGGUGAGGGGUCUGCUUUGCACAGCUCCAGCCCCCUGUAAGAAGUCAGCGCCCCUAUUUGCACUGGGGGUCUUUGCAGGGGGCUCUAAGCCUCAGACCCCCCAGCUCAAGAGACCCCCAAGGCUCCCCCGUGGUGCAGAGGGGGGGGGCUCUCCCCUCCCACCCCAAUACGCAGCCUCCAGCACCCACCAGGGGUUUGCAUCCCGCGGCACCCUACAGGCAGCUGCCCCAGCCCUGGGGCUCUGCCCCCACCUGGAGGUGCCAGGGCUGCCCCCACCCCAUUGUUUUGGGGGAGCGUGUGGGGCAGGGCUGCGCACCCGUGGGUCCUGGUGGGCGCAGAGCACCCGCGUCCCUGACCGCCAGAGGACCCCCAGGGUGGCCGCAGGGACCCGUGGCCACGUGGGGACCACAACAAACCCACAGGGGGGCAGGAGGUGGGGCAGAUGGCCACGCUGCAGGGGGGCGUUGCAAAACCCUUUUGGCUUCCCCCUUCCCCAGCCCCACGCACGGCUGGGGGCAGCCCUACAGGGCCCCCAGAGCCCCUCAGCAGGGGGACAGCCCCCCACGUGGGGUGUCAGGGCAAGGCAGGAAGGCCACGCAGAGCCCCCAGGACCAUAUACAUUUAUAACAGCCCUUUACCAAAAAUCUCUAGAAAGCCCUCCCAUAAAUACCACCAGCGCACACAGCCCCUCUCCACGGGGUAUGCGGGGCCAGGGGAACACCCCCAGGGGGACACCUUCACCCCACACCCCCGUCCCUCUGCUCCCCACGGCUUCCUGGGGAUCGUGGCCCAACAAAACGGGGUGUCACGGGCGGUGGCUGCCCGCUGGUGACCCGACGCACCGUGUCAGCCCUGGUGCGGGGCCAAGGAGGGCAGAGGGGACGCCAGCGCGGCUCUGGGGCACGACACCCCGCAGCCAAGGUCCUCGCGGGGAGCCGGGCGGCAGGACGCACCGCUUCCCCCGGUGCUGCCACCCGGUUAAAGGUCACCCGGUUGGGUUCGGCGCCAGCACGGGGACACCGCGACGGUCCCGGAGAGGGGGUUCCC